rnacentral:lncRNA from 1 species
UAGGAGGACUAUCACUCCCAAAAAAUGACGUCUUGAAGUAACAAUAAUGAUCCAUCGGUUGUCAUUUUCGCCACCAGGUGGCGUUUACCACGGCCGAGCGUCUGCUGUGUUUUCGAUGUGCUAGUGCAUUUUACUACAUUUUGCUAUUGAGGAAAUAUAUUUUUUAAAAUGGGUAAAUAGUUUUAUUUCCUUAGUUAAACCAAGCCGUCUUUUUGCUUGGAUCUAAAAAGAAAGUUCAAUAUCUUAUACGUGUCAUCAAACAAACUGUCGCCCUAGUAAAGUAAUAUAACAUAAUGCGAUGAAGGUUAAAGAGAGAUUUAAAGAAGUACGGACGAACGAAACGGGGAAAUUCCGGCAUAACAACACAACAACAACAUUUUUCCUUAUUAGGACUAUAUGCAGGAGCAUACCAAUUCCUUGGUCUGAAAUUGAAAUUCACACUUUGUAUGGUGCGAAAAACAGGGAAAGGGUAAGAAUAUUGAUCAUUAUGUCAUAAUGGAAAGGUAUAUCCACCGGGGAUGGUGAGAAACAUCAGGGUGCCACGAAAUUGUAUAAAAUUGUGCAACAGAGCCAACUAUAAUCAGUUGAGUGUCCAUCUACAACUUAACAAGAGAAUUUCAGUUGUUUACCAAUUACUGAAUUCUCUUGCUCGUUAACAUCAACAACUUCAGUUAGCCUUGCAACAAUAGGCAUCCAUGGCCUUACGCUUCUACUUACUAUUGCCCUUAUGACUGGGACAAGCAUAGGUGUGCCAAUGGGUUCACCGUCUUCUAGCUAUGGUGGUUAUUCAUACCAGAUAACCACUGCUGCGCCGUACUACACCACGAUGUAUUCGUUUCCUACUUACUACACCACGUAUGCAGUACCGACUUACUAUACGGAGGCCCCGAAAUACUACCCCGCGCCGAACUAUUACACAGAAGCGCCAGUGUAUUACAUUACAGCGUACGCUUCACCGUCUUACUACACUGAGGCCCCAAAAUAUUACGUAGCUCCAACCUACUUCACCGAAGCUGCCCCAUCUUACUACUCCUAGCCGACCAACUAUACUGAAGCCUCGAAGUACUACGCUGCCCCAAGUUACUACACCACGGCUGCUCCUUCAUAGUACAUGGAACCAGGUAAUA